rnacentral:rRNA from 1 species
GGUUAAGCGACUAAGCGUACACGGUGGAUGCCAUGGCAGUCAGAGGCGAUGAAGGACGUGCUAAUCUGCGAUAAGCGUCGGUAAGGUGAUAUGAACCGUUAUAACCGGCGAUUUCCGAAUGGGGAAACCCAGUGUGAUUCGUCACACUAUCAUUAACUGAAUCCAUAGGUUAAUGAGGCGAACCGGGGGAACUGAAACAUCUAAGUACCCCGAGGAAAAG